GUUAUGUUAUGAACUGUGAUGCCUUCCCACAAGAGCUGUGUUUGUACUGUGCCAUACAACCCCUGAAGCUGAAUAAAGAACUUUCUCCUUGAUUCCCCCAGCCCUCCAAAAACAUCAGAUGGCCUUCAGUAUUACAGAUUUUGCUUUGCCUGCCACGGGAUCCCAAGCAAAGCCUUCUCCAUACAGACAGGCUUGGAGACCAGCCUCAAGACUUAAACUCUCAUUGGUCAUGUCAGGAUACUGUAAUUAGUUCCUCUUUGCCAACCCUGGAUAAUGGCAACAACUUCUUUAGUGGCAUGCUGCAUGCUCUGUUUGGUCAUGUCCAGAGAUACCCAAGAUAAAGAAAUCUGAUAAAUAUACAGAUUAACUCAGCAAAAAUAACAUGGUUAUUUUCAUGAAUACUGCACUUGGGCACAUCAGCAAAAUUCAAAAGUGACAAAAG